CCUACGGGGGGCAGCAGUGGGGAAUAUUGCGCAAUGGGCGAAAGCCUGACGCAGCGACGCCGCGUGAGGGAUGAAGGUCUUCGGAUCAUAAACCUCUGUCAGCAGGGAAGAACGGUCACUGUGCUAAUCAGCAGUGAAUUGACGGUACCUGCACAGGAAGCACCGGCUAACUCCGUGCCAGCAGCCGCGGUAAUACGGAGGGGGCGAGCGUUAAGCGGAAUUACUGGGCGUAAAGCGCUCGUAGGCGGUAUGGCAAGUCAAGGGUGAAAUCCCCGCGCUCAACGUGGGAACUGCCUUUGAAACUGGCAGACUGGAGUGUGUGAGAGGAUAGUGGAAUUCCAGGUGUAGGAGUGAAAUCCGUAGAUAUCUGGAGGAACAUCAGUGGCGAAGGCGACUAUCUGGCACAUAACUGACGCUGAGGAGCGAAAGCGUGGGUAGCAAACAGGAUUAGAUACCCCUGUAGUC
rnacentral:rRNA from 1 species